AGCGGCGGAGCUCCGGCGGGGCUGGAGUGGCUGGGAUUUGCUGCUUUUUUUUUAAUUUCCUCCCUAUGCUUCCUUCCCCUCUUCCGCUUUCUUCUCCCUCCAUCCCGGCCCUCUCCCGAUGCUCGGGCACAUUGCGGGCUCCCUGGGAGGGGAUGAGAGGCUGCUGGGCCGCGCGGGGCACGGUGGGCUUUAUCGGUGCCGUCGGGAAGACGCUUCCAUGCAGGGGCACAUGGAGGGGCCCCGUCCCGCAGAGCCCCCCCGGGGCCCCCACGCCGUGCUGGAGGGCAAAGUGAAGGCGCUGAAGGAGAAGCGUGGAGCCGAGCGGCCCUCGCCCAAGAAGGCCCGUGCCCGCAAGGGGAAGGCUGGAGCUGAGGAACAGCGGGUGCAGCUCCGCACGUACCUGACUGAUGGGCUGCUGGAUGGCACUGCAUCGUGGGGGGAGCGGGGGGGGCUGGGGGGCUCUCCCCCUCUGGUCUCUGCUGGCAAGGAGGUGACGGAGGGCCCGGAGCCACUGUCCUUGGCUGAGAGGGUGGAGAGGAACCGGCAGCUGCUGCACGAGGUGCUGGGGAUGCACGAGGUGCCAGCAAGUGAUGGCGACUGGGACUCAGGGGUCUCACUGCAGGAUGCUGAGGGAUGCAGGGCCUUUGUUCCCGGGCAGGAGCUCGAGCUGAGCCCACGCCAUGAGCAGGCCAAGCAGCUGCUGCAGCGCGCCCGCAUGAAGGCUCGCACCAACCCGCUGCGUGCCAGCCACGACCUCCUGCUGCUGCCCACCGCCGCGCACCCCAGGGAGCCCAGCGGGACACCGAGGCCCAGCGUCACCACAAGAGAGGUGGAGGGCCCGGCGGGCGGCAGUCUGAGCGACUCAUCCAGCGGGGAGUCGGGCUGCAGGGAGCCCCGGCGGCCACGGGGAGCCUCCCCGUCCCGCGUGCGCUUUGAGGACGAGUCGGCCCGCGACGCUGAGGUGCGCUACCUGGAGCGGCUGCGGCACCGCCGGGUGCUGGGCUCAGCACUGGAGCGCAGCGGUGGAGAGCCCCGUGGGCACCCCGGGGAUGGCCCUGCCAAAUCCCGUGGUGGUGAUGUCCCUGCUGGGGGCAAGUGCCAGGCCUGCGGCUCCCUGCUCGGUGCCGCCGUGCCGGCUGAAGGCAGCCCCAUGGCACGGGGACGGGAGCGCACGGGUCCUGGUGCUGCUGCCCAGCCUGAACCCAAGGCCCGGCCGCUGGGUCCUGGGGGGUCCCCGCUCUGGAUCCUGCCUUCCCGGCAGCGCAUUCACACUGAGAAGAUCAAGGAGACUUAUAUCGGGAACGUCGCCCGUGGGGAUGAGGCGGACUCGGCACUGGAGAGCACCGACACCUCCGAUGGCUGCCGCACCGACAGCGAGGAGCCGCGGCCCCGCAGCCCCCACCCACGGGGGCAUCGGGAGCCCCGGGCUCGUGGCCACCGCAGCCCCCGCACCCCAACGCAAAAGGAGAAGGGCACGAGUGUGGCCGGGGGCUCGGGGACGCUUUGUCCCCCACCAGCGGGUACAGCUGGCAGCCAGGAUGGGGGACACACCGGUGAGAUGGCGGGCAAAGGAGAGCCACUGGUCCCCUCCUCGAGGCCAGCGGGGCCUUCCCACACCCCCUCCAUCAUCACCACUACAAAGGCCUGCUCCCAGGUGCCUUGCAGGACAAGUGUCCCUGCUAGCAGCCACCAGUGUCCAGAGCCUGAUGCUGGGAGCACUUUGCCCCAACCCAAGGGUGCGGGGCAGCGGCGGGGGCCCUGUGGCCCUGUGUGGCUCCCGGGGAGCCCCCUGCGUGCCUUGUCCACUAAUAACUGCAACAACACCCAUGGACAGGGCUGUGGAAGCCGCCCCCAUGGGCUGGGGACACAACCUGGGGAGACCACCAGGAUGCCCAAGGCACAGCACGAUGGGAACGCAACACCUGGGGAGCCAGCACGGGCAACAAGCCGGAAGGGCAGUGGGGAUGCGGCAUCCUCAGGGCUGAAGCGGCUCCUAUGCAGCCUGAGCCAGAGCACCAGGCAGCGCCUGGGUCGCUUCCGCUGCUACAGCAUGGAGCAGCUGCCCGGCCCCGCACCCAACGGCCCCAGCGUGAAGCGGUCGCCCUCGCUGCAGGCACUGGUGUCACCGUUCCGCCAGCCCCAAAAAGCCGCUUCCAUACAGAGCCUGCACAGCCUGCUGGGCAGGGCGCCCCGAGCCAAUGCGUACCUGCUGUCCCAGCCUGGGGACGGGGACAGGAAGGCAGCCUCGGGGCCACGGCACUCGCUGAGCGUGGAGGACAUCGGUGCACCCGACCGGCCGCGCAUAGUGGGGCGUGUGGUGGAGGUGUUCCCCGAUGGCACCAGCCUGCUGGAGAUAGAACGGCCACCACACGGCUCCUUCGGCUUCCAGGUCACCUCUGGGCACGGCCGGCCCGACACAGGUGUCUACGUGCAGGAGAUGGCGGACGCGGGCACGGCCAAGCUGUACGCGGGGCUGCUGGGGGUGGGCGAUGAGAUCCUGCAGGUCAACGGGGCUGCUGUGUCGGGCCUGGGGCUGGCACGCAUCCGGGAGCUGCUGUUGCAGGCAGACAGCCUGGCCCUGCGUGUGCUAAGGCAGCGUCCGGCUCGGCGGUAGCGGCGCGGCUCCAGGAGGAGUGGAGCGGUCUGCAGGUGCUGCCGGAGUCCUGCAUGGAGCUGAAGUGCAACAAGGACUUCAACAAGACAAAGGGCCUGGAUCUGCCCUGCUUAUGUGCAAUGCACGGGUCCCUGCGGGGAUGGGGACGGCAGGGCACCCUGGCAGGCAACGUGGGACAAGGACCUGCCCCUGGCAUGGGGACAUCUCAGCUCUCCGGCCCUGGAUUCUCCCUGCCUCAGCUGGAAACCUCUGCCCACGAGCUGGUAAUGAACGUGCUGCGGGUGGCACUCGGGACGGGGAUGAUACCUGGGUGGGGCAGAGCAGAGCAGGUGGGGCUGGGGGGGGCUGCGGGUCCUUCACAGUGGUGGUCUCACAGCUUCU